rnacentral:rRNA from 1 species
UACGGGGGGCAAGGCGUUGUUCGGAAUUACUGGCGUAAAGGGCGCGAUAGGCGGGCCCGUACUGUCGAUUGUGAAGCCUAGGCUCGAACCGAGGAACUGCCUUUCAAACUGCUUGGCUUGAGUCCGGGAGAGGUGAGUGGAAUUCCCAGUGUAGCGGUGAAAUGCGUAGAUAUUGGGAGGAACACCAGUGGCGAAGGCGGCUCACUGGACCGGAACUGACGCUGAGGCGCGAAAGCGUGGGGAGCAAACGGG